rnacentral:lncRNA from 1 species
UGUAAAAUGGACACAAAAACAAGAAGAAAUGCUCAUGAGAAAACACAGUGAUAGACGCCUUUUCUAAACAGUUUCUGCUUUGUUUGGGACAACCCUCCAGGUCAUCCAAAAUGGAAGCUGAAUCAUAACAGGUGGACUACGUUUUGUAAAACUGAUUUGACACUAAGAAAACUUACUGAUUGAAAUGACUGAACUCUGCUCUUUCAAGAUAUUCCUUUUAAUUUUUUUGGCAAAGCUAGAUAUACUUUUUGAUUUGGAAUAAUAUAUCUCAAUGAAUUCAUUAAUAAGGUCAUAUAGUUCAUUUGUAUUCUGAUUCUAGGUAUAAAUUUUCACUUUUUAGAUUUUCUUAAGUUAUAAUUAUGCUUAUAAUUUGUUUUGGCAUCUCUUAUGACUAUCAAACUGAUGAUUUAAAAUACUUAUUCCCAAUGUAAGUGACAUGAUUUACUCACACUACAUUAUGAAAUAAUUUUUUCAUUCAAAAUUAAACUUCAGUUGUCCUUCUCUUUCUCUCCUUUUCUAAUCCAACAAAUCAGAUCUAUUUUUAUAUUUGUUUAUAUUUUUUAAUCAACUACACAUCCCUUUAAAUCUGU